rnacentral:tRNA from 1 species
UAGCCCAUGGUGUAAUUGGCAACACAGAUGGUUUUGGUCCAUCCGUUCCUGGUUCGAGUCCAGGUGGGCUAG